rnacentral:rRNA from 1 species
UGGGGAAUAUUGGACAAUGGGCGCAAGCCUGAUCCAGCCAUGCCGCGUGUGUGAAGAAGGCCUUCGGGUUGUAAAGCACUUUCAGUUGGGAGGAAGGGUUGUGUGUUAAUAGUACACAGCCUUGACGUUACCAACAGAAGAAGCACCGGCUAACUCUGUGCCAGCAGCCGCGGUAAUACAGAGGGUGCAAGCGUUAAUCGGAAUUACUGGGCGUAAAGCGCACGUAGGCGGGUUUUUAAGUCAGAUGUGAAAGCCCCGGGCUCAACCUGGGAAUUGCAUUUGAAACUGGAAAACUAGAGUGUGUGAGAGGGGGGUAGAAUUCCAAGUGUAGCGGUGAAAUGCGUAGAGAUUUGGAGGAAUACCAGUGGCGAAGGCGGCCCCCUGGCACAACACUGACGCUCAGGUGCGAAAGCGUGGGGAGCAAACAGGAUUAGAUACCCUGGUAGUCCACGCCGUAAACGAUGUCUACUAGCUGUUCGUGACCUUGUGUCGUGAGUAGCGCAGCUAACGCACUAAGUAGACCGCCUGGGGAGUACGGUCGCAAGAUUA